rnacentral:rRNA from 1 species
GGGAUGAGCUGUGGAUAGGGGUGAAAGGCCAAUCAAACUUCGUGAUAGCUGGUUCUCUCCGAAAUGCAUUUAGGUGCAGCGUCGUAUUAUAGCUUGGUGGAGGUAGAGCGACUGGUUGGUUGAGCGGGACUACAAUCUUAGCAAUGUCAGCCAAACUCCGAAUGCCACUAAUUGUGUUGUACGGCAGUGAGACUGUGGGGGAUAAGCUUCAUAGUCGAGAGGGAAACAGCCCAGACCACCGGUUAAGGCCCCUAAGCGUGUGCUAAGUGGGAAAGGA